rnacentral:rRNA from 1 species
CCUACCGAAAGGUAGGCUAAUAUCAGAUGAUGCAGCGGCUCGACAUCGAGACAGUUGUUAACCUUCGGGGCCUAAAGAUGAGCCUGCGUCUGAUUAGGUAGUUGGCGGAGUAAUAGCCCACCAAGCCUGCGAUCAGUAGCUGGUCUGAGAGGAUGAUCAGCCACACUGGAACUGAGACACGGUCCAGACUCCUACGGGAGGCAGCAGUAAGGAAUAUUGCUCAAUGGCCGAAAGGCUGAAGCAGCAACGCCGCGUGGAGGACGGAAUACUUUUGUAUGUAAACUCCUGUAAGAAGGGAAAAAUAUGCAGUUUUUCUGCAUUGAUUGUACCUUCAGAGUAAGCCCCGGCUAACUACGUG